AUCAUGGUUAUUAGCAAAUGACAAUGUCUUAAUUCCAUGCAUUGGUCGUUUUUUCCCACAGAUUGUUUUCCAGUAUCAAAUCCAGCAGUGCAGUUCAAGAAAGCCAGAAUAGGCAAACUACCAUCAAAGGAGUCCUCAAAGAAAUGGAGAAAAUUUCCAUACUCUCCUCAGUGGGUUAGUAUGUUAGAUGUGGCUCAAAAAAUCUUGGAUGAAGAAGACAGAAUAAAAAAGAUACAGAAGGAGAAUAAGACAGAAGGAGAGGACACACAAGCAGAUGAGAUUUUUGAGGAAGGGGAGAAAGAAAAUAAAGAUGAACCCUUGGCUGAAUUGGUUGAUGCAGGAGUCAUUCAGCCAACUACUGUGGAGGAUUUUCCACUCUUGCUGGAAGAGCCACCAUCUCCAGGGACACCACAACUAAGGGCAGAAACGGAGAUUUUAACAGCUCAUGAAAUAGAGGAUAUCAUCCAGGAAAUUGUGGCCAUCAGGGUUAAAGAGAAGCUCUCAGAAGAAGCCAUGCCAGUGGUCUGCCAAGAUAUGUCUUCUCUCAGUUCCCACAAGGCAUGUUAUCAUUGGGAGAGGAAGAUGCCUCAUUAACUGCUCACAAAUCAGUCAUGGAUUAGAAACUAAAAUGUGCACCACUGCUUUUGAAGUACCAUUAAAUAGCCAUCCCAGUUUCAAUCACAA
rnacentral:lncRNA from 11 species